UGUGGCCUCUGGGCUAUCCGACUCCCUCUCUGAGCUUGUGUGACCCUGGGCCAAUGGCCCAACUCCUGGAUGACUCCCGCUGAGGUCCCUGAGGGGGUCCAGGGUCAUCAGACAAGAGUGGGCUUCGGGAGAUGUCGGUCCUCAGCUCGGUUUGCAGCUCCAGCUUGGCUCCAGGUUAGGUCCAAGGGUGACUAGAAAAAUCUAGGUGUAAAUAUAUUUUUUUAAAUUUUGUUUUGUUCAUUUACUUAUUUUGUUUUUUUGAGACAGGGUUUCUCUAUGUAGCCCUGGCUGUCCUGGAACUCGCGAUAUAGAGCAAGCUGGUCUUGAACUCAUAGAGAUCCACCUGCUUCUCUGCUUCCCGAGUGCAAGGAUUAAAGAUGUGAGCCACCAUACCUGGCUUAGGUUUGCGAGGCUCAACAGAACUGGGUUCAAGCUCUCCUGCUUCGCUGUUUUCUGGCUGCGUGGCCCUGACUGAGUUGCCUCAGUUUCCCCAUCUGGAACAGGAGCAACUCAGACCUACUAGACUGGCAAUGUGAAGGUUACGGGGUGCCAGCGCACGGCACACCGGGGACACAGGCCUGCGAUACUGCACGCCGUCUCGGAAGAAAGGGAUGCCGGGCACGGCUGGGGGAGCAAAUUUGAGCCUCGUGGAGAGCUGCGUGUAUAAAGCGAGAUGCCCACUGACGUUUGCAACCGUCCAGCCGCUGUGAGAAAACACCUGACGGAGGCAUCCACGGGGCAAGAGUCUAUUCUGGCUGCUGGACUGAGGGCGCUGUCGUCCAUCAGGGAAGCAGGGUGACAGAAUCCAUAGCUGGGGAGCAGAGGCCAAUGCAAGUGCUCAGUGCCUCUAGCCCGUGGGAUGGUACCAACCACAUUCAGGCUGGCCCCACAUCUGACGCUAAUAUGGAUGUGAAAUGUCUCCCAUUCGCUCACCUGUUUGAACACGUGGCCCCCAGCUGGCCCGGACCUACAGGGGAGGCACAGCUUCUGGAGGACAUGGGUCACUGAGGGUCUUGAAGCCUUACUUCCUGUCUGGUCUCCUUGCUUCCUGGCUCUGGAUGCGAUGUCACCUGUGGCUCCUGCUCCUGCUUUUCCCACUUGCCUUUCCCACAACCAUGGUCAAUAUCCCUCUAACCUAUAAGGCAAAAUAAACCCUCCUCCAAGGCGG